rnacentral:rRNA from 1 species
CAGCAGCCGCGGUAAACCGUAGCGUGCAAGCGUUAUCCGGAUUUACUGGGCGUAAAGCGCGUGCAGGCGGCUUGGUAGGUUGGACGUGAAAGCUCCCGGCUCAACUGGGAGAGGCCGUUCAAUACCGCCAGGCUUGAGGGCGGAAGAGGGAAGUGGAAUUCCCGGU